UGUUGUAGGAAGAAGCAGGCUGUGAUUGAAUCUUUAUAUUUGGAUGUGGUUUUAAGUCAAGUCACUAUUUGGUCACAGAGGUUGUCAAAAAGAAGCAGGUUUGAACUUAUUUAGGAAAGUGCAGGGUUUGGUAGGAGAGAAAGGGAGCCGAAGAGAUCCAAGCUCUUGUUUUAAAACUCACACCUUCCAUUAUGACUAAGUGUGCCAAGAAAUAUCGAAAAGGAGUCAGACUGAUGACCAUGGAAAUGGUUGAACAGGAUGACAAUGCAGUGGAUUCUAUUACAGAGAGAAGUGCUGGUCACCUUCCGAAUCAGCCAGGCCAAAGUCAGAUUUCCUCAGGAUCUGAGGUAAGUUGAAAUGUGGAAAGA